UAAUGAAUCGAUGUGAAAAACAAUGAAGAUCAAAUAUCCAUCUCAAUACUGCUUUUACAAAAGCAGAAUAAAAAAGCAAUGAAAUGAAAAUGA
rfam:Tupaia chinensis contig60904, whole genome shotgun sequence.